UUGAGCCUCAAAUAGUAUUGAAUUGGAACCUGAAUCUUCUGAAAUGAUAGCCGGGCUUGUGACUGGCUGUGCUGGGCAACCUGCUGCUUCCCAUUGGAAGGGAGCCUCUGCAUUCUGGGAGGAGAGGCAGGAGAAGUUGGGAGAGGCUGCACAGAGGGAGUCAUGUCAACUGAGGGAUCUGGGAGAGUAGCAGAGAAAGCUCUUAGUGGCAUUCCGUGUCU